rnacentral:lncRNA from 1 species
ACACUUCCUCCACUUGAGUUCUGGUAAUUUUUGAAAAACCGUUUGUCAAAACACACAUGUACGUUUGCCCCAAAAUCUAACCACCAAUCACUAUUACUUAAACAUGCGACAUUAACUAGAGGCUUAAAACUAUACCUUAGAUUGGGUUCAUCUUGAUCAUCUUGAUCCACCAACACAUUCACUUGGGCUUUAGGACCACUUUGUCCUUUGUUCCACUUAGACUUGGGCUUGUAGGGCUCGGUCUUCUUGUAAUGACAGUCUUUGGCCCAAUGAUUUGUUCUUCCACAAACGAAGCAUGGUUGAUCCCUAUUGCCAUUGGAAUUGUUAUGGGGUCUAUUGUGCUGGCGAUUUUGGUUUCGGUUG